rnacentral:tRNA from 1 species
GUCUCUAUAGUAUAUAGGUAGUACACUUGCUUUUCGUGUAAGUAGAGAAAGUUCAAAUCUUUCUAGAGAUA